CAGUUUGCUCUCAUCUCUCUCUCUCUCUACGAAAGCAAGAGGGCUCUGUUAGGGCAUAAGUCCCCCUCCUUACCAGCUAGCUCCAAUCUGCUUCGUACUCUCGGCUCCGUAGCUUGCUCCAGUGCCCUAUUGUCUUAGUGAGUUACCAUUCCUUGUGCUAGUGUCUAAAAAGAUGGGAAGAAUGUGGGAGGUAGGCCUGAUGGUGGUAGGGAUGUGUAUGUGACUCUCAGGAGUGGUUCUGUGGCCUUAGUGCCUAUUGUAAUCCCUUGCUCUGGGAGCAUCUCUUUUGCAAAACUGUUAAACGUUUAGUUUCUGUUAUGUCCAAGACAUUGUAGUGUGCCUGAGUUUCCUUUUAACGUACUCUUUUGGGUUAUUGUAAUAGUGGACUUCUUUCGCAUACUGU